rnacentral:rRNA from 1 species
UGCAAGUCGAACGAACCUUCGGGUUAGUGGCGGACGGGUGAGUAACGCGUGGGAAUCUGCCCUCAGGAGGGGGAUAACGGCUGGAAACGGCCGCUAAUACCCCAUAUGCCGAGAGGUGAAAUGAAUUUCGCCUGAGGAUGAGCCCGCGUCUGAUUAGCUAGUUGGUGAGGUAAGAGCUCACCAAGGCAUCGAUCAGUAGCUGGUCUGAGAGGAUGAUCAGCCACACUGGGACUGAGACACGGCCCAGACUCCUACGGGAGGCAGCAGUGGGGAAUUUUCCGCAAUGGGCGAAAGCCUGACGGAGCAACGCCGCGUGAGGGAUGAAGGCCUCUGGGCUGUAAACCUCUUUUCUCAAGGAAGAAGAUCUGACGGUACUUGAGGAAUAAGCCACGGCUAAUUCCGUGCCAGCAGCCGCGGUAAUACGGGAGUGGCAAGCGUUAUCCGGAAUUAUUGGGCGUAAAGCGUCCGCAGGCGGCCCUUCAUGUCUGCUGUUAAAACGUGGAGCUUAACUCCAUCAUGGCAGUGGAAACUGUUGGGCUUGAGUGUGGUAGGGGCAGAGGGAAUUCCCGGUGUAGCGGUGAAAUGCGUAGAUAUCGGGAAGAACACCAGUGGCGAAGGCGCUCUGCUGGGCCAUAACUGACGCUCAUGGACGAAAGCCAGGGGAGCGAAAGGGAUUAGAUACCCCUGUAGUCCUGGCCGUAAACGAUGAACACUAGGUGUCGGGGGAAUCGACCCCCUCGGUGUCGUAGCCAACGCGUUAAGUGUUCCGCCUGGGGAGUACGCACGCAAGUGUGAAACUCAAAGGAAUUGACGGGGGCCCGCACAAGCGGUGGAGUUAUGGUGGUUUAAUUCGAUGCAACGCGAAGAACCUUACCAGGGUUUGACAUCCUGCGAACCUCUUGGAA